rnacentral:tRNA from 1 species
GGUGGCUCAGUGAUAGAGCACUUGCCUUGCAUGCAUGAGGGACUGGGUUCGAUUCCUCAGCACCA